rfam:Clostridium saccharobutylicum DSM 13864, complete genome.
AUAUAUCUUCAGGGCAGGGUUAAAAUCCCUACCGGCGGUAUAGCCCGCGAGCUUUAAUUUAAGCAGAUUCGGUGUAAUUCCGAAGCCGACAGUAUAGUCUGGAUGAAAGAAGGUAACC